ACGGAGGGUGCGAGCGUUAUUCGGAAUUACUGGGCGUAAAGCGUGCGCAGGCGGGGAAGUAAGUCUGAUGUGAAAUCCCCGGGCUUAACUCCGGAACUGCCAUUGAAACUGUCAUUCUUGAGUUUUGGAGAGGAAGGGGGAAUUCGCGGUGUAGAGGUGAAAUUCGUAGAGAUCGCGCGGAAUACCAGUGGCGUAGGCACCCUUCUGGACGGUUACUGACGCUGAGGCGCGAAAGCGUGGGGAUCGAACAG
rnacentral:rRNA from 1 species